AAGCCAUGCAAGUCGUGCGCUCUCAAGCUAUGUUGAGGGCGCGGCGAACGGCUCCGUAACACGUAGUUAACCUACCCUCGGGAUGGGGAUAACCCCGGGAAACUGGGAUUAAUACCCACUAGAUGAUUAUACCUGGAAUGGCUCAUCAUCGAAAGAGUCUGGAAACAUGCUUCCAGCGUCGCCCGAGGAUGGGACUGCGUCCGAUCAGGUUGUUGGCGGGGUAACGGCCCACCAAGCCUAUAACCGGUACGGGCCCUGAGAGGGGGAGCCCGGAGAUGGAAACUGAGAAAAGGUUCCAGGCCCUACGGGGUGCAGCAGGCGCGAAACCUCCACAAUGCGCGAAAGCGUGAUGGGGUUAUCCCGAGUGCCGUCCGAUGAGGAUGGCUUUUCAUCGGUGUAAGGAUCCGAUGGAAUAAAGGGGGGGCAAGACUGGUGUCAGCCGCCGCGGUAAUACCAGCCCCCUGAGUGGUAAGGACGAUUAUUUGGCCUAAAGCGUCCGUAGCCGGCUUAUCAAGUCUUUUGUUAAAUCCAACGAUUCAAUCGUUGGGCCGCAAAAGAUACUGUUAUGCUAGAGGACGGGAGAGGUCGACGGUAGUCCAGGGGUAGGGGUGAAAUCCUAUAAUCCUUGGAGGACCACCAGUGGCGAAAGCGGUCGACUAGAACGUGCCUGACGGUGAGGGACCAAAGCUGGGGGAGCGAACCGGAUUAGAUACCCGGGUAGUCCCAGCUGUAAACGAUGCCGGCUAGGUGU
rnacentral:rRNA from 1 species